ACAUAUACUGUUCUCGAUUCAGAAACUUUUUACUAUAUAAAGGGAUUGAUUUGUAUGAUAAAAGUUAUAAGCAUUAAAAAUGUCCAAGUUACAACUUACUAUUCUGAUCGUUAUUGGUUUCGUAGCAGUGCUACAGAAAGUGAAUGCAACCGCUCCUGGAGCAGGCUCAUGCACUGGAAUUGGAUAAUGCACUGGAUCAGCUUCUGGUGCUGGUGCCGGCUCAUGCACGGGCGAUAGAUCGUGCAGUGGUGAUAAUUCGGGUGCUGGUGGUGGAUCUUGCACAGGGGCAGACUCCUGCAAGGCAGCCGGAAGUGGCAGCGAAGCUGGUACUUGCACUGAACCCAAUUCGUGUGCUUAAACGA